rnacentral:rRNA from 1 species
UACGUAGGGUCCGAGCGUUGUCCGGAAUUAUUGGGCGUAAAGAGCUCGUAGGCGGUCUGUCGCGUCGGCUGUGAAAACACGGGGCUCAACUCCGUGCCUGCAGUCGAUACGGGCAGACUAGAGUUCGGUAGGGGAGACUGGAAUUCCUGGUGUAGCGGUGAAAUGCGCAGAUAUCAGGAAGAACACCAAUGGCGAAAGCAGCUCUCUGGGACGGUACUGACGCUGAGACGCGAAAGCGUGGGGAGCGAACAGG